rnacentral:lncRNA from 1 species
UUAGAUUUAGGGCAAUAACAACCUGGUGCAAGCACCAAGGCUUCAAAUUCUUCCUACAUAUCUUUCAAUUUUGAGAAAUACACUGGAACAGACGCAGUACCUUGAGACAGUGUUGCAAUUUCUUUAUGCAGAUUAAACGACCUUGAAUCAUCUACCUUAUUAAAUCUUUCAGACAAAUCUUCCCAAACUACUUGGGCAGAGGAAGCAUACAUAAUUCCUCCUAGAAGAUUUUUGGACACAGAAUUCAUAAUCCACGAGAGUACAAUUGCAUUUACUCUCUCCCAAUGAUUCCGCUAGAUUUCAAGGAAUUUUUCUUUCUUGCAUGAGCCAUCAAUCAGACCUAACUUAUUUCUUCUUAAUAAGGCAACACGCAUAGGUCGAUUCCAGAUUGAGUAAUUUUCAAUACCUGUGAGUUGAAAUGAAAUUAUCUGAAUACCGCUCAUAUCAGCUGUAGAUAAGAACAGAGGAUGAUUAUAGUCUACUCCAACUAGUUGAUUUCCAUUUCCAAUCGUUGGAUAUACAACUCCAAGAAUCAACUGAUCUCUUGCAUGUUGUUGAGAUCCAAAUCCAUGAUUUAGAUUUUGCUCAUUUUCCAUUGACAAGAUUUCACAAGAAUUUGGAUUGAAUUUUCAGUAAACACUAGAGAAAAAGAAGCAUCGAUAACAUGAGCUCAGAAUUUCAAGCUCUGUCGCGCUGAUACCACGAAAUUAAUGGUGAAUUUCAGAUUAUAGAAUCUGAAUUCAAGGAAGAAGAUAAUGAAUAUCGACUAGAGAGGUUAGACAGAGAAUGAAUGGAGAAGAAAAUAAAUUUAUUAUUUUUU